ACGUAGGGUCCGAGCGUUGUCCGGAAUUAUUGGGCGUAAAGAGCUCGUAGGCGGUAUGUCGCGUCUGCUGUGAAAGCCCGGGGCUCACCCCCGGAAGUGCAUUGGAAACUGGUGGACUCGAGUCCCGGAGAGGAGAGUGGAAUUCCUGGUGUAGCGGUGAAAUGCGUAGAUAUCAGGAGGAACACCGGUGGCGAAGGCGGCUCUCUGGACGGUGACUGACGCUGAGACGCGAAAGCGUGGGGAGCAAACAGGA
rnacentral:rRNA from 1 species